GGUCCGGUGAAGUGUUCGGAUCGCUCCGACGUGGGCGGUUCGCUGCCCGCGACGUAGCGAGAAGUCCACUGAACCUUAUCAUUUAGAGGAAGGAGAAGUCGUAACAAGGUUUCCGUAGGUGAACCUGCGGAAGGAUCAUUG
rnacentral:rRNA from 2 species